rnacentral:rRNA from 1 species
UGGGGAAUUUUGGACAAUGGGGGAAACCCUGAUCCAGCCAUCCCGCGUGUGCGAUGAAGGCCUUCGGGUUGUAAAGCACUUUUGGCAGGAAAGAAACGUCAUGGGUUAAUACCCCGUGAAACUGACGGUACCUGCAGAAUAAGCACCGGCUAACUACGUGCCAGCAGCCGCGGUAAUACGUAUGGUGCAAGCGUUAAUCGGAAUUACUGGGCGUAAAGCGUUCGCAGGCGGUUCGGAAAGAAAGAUGUGAAAUCCCAGAGCUCACCUUUGGAACUGCAUGUAUAACUACCGGGCUAGAGUGUGUCAGAGGGAGGUGGAAUUCCGCGUGUAGCAGUGAAAUGCGUAGAUAUGCGGAGGAACACCGAUGGCGAAGGCAGCCUCCUGGGAUAACACUGACGCUCAUGCACGAAAGCGUGGGGAGCAAACAGG